rnacentral:rRNA from 1 species
AUUGAACGCUGGCGGCAUGCCUUACACAUGCAAGUCGAACGGCAGCACGGGAGCAAUCCUGGUGGCGAGUGGCGAACGGGUGAGUAAUAUAUCGGAACGUGCCCAGUAGUGGGGGAUAACUGCUCGAAAGAGCAGCUAAUACCGCAUACGACCUGAGGGUGAAAGGGGGGGAUCGCAAGACCUCUCGCUAUUGGAGCGGCCGAUAUCAGAUUAGCUAGUUGGUGGGGUAAAGGCCUACCAAGGCAACGAUCUGUAGUUGGUCUGAGAGGACGAACAGCCACACUGGGACUGAGACCCGGCCCAGACUCCUACGGGAGGCAGCAGUGGGGAAUUUUGGACAAUGGGCGCAAGCCUGAUCCAGCAAUGCCGCGUGCAGGAAGAAGGCCUUCGGGUUGUAAACUGCUUUUGUCAGGGAAGAAAUCCUCUAGGUUAAUACCCUUGGGGGGAUGACGGUACCUGAAGAAUAAGCACCGGCUAACUACGUGCCAGCCGCCGCAGUAAUAC